rnacentral:rRNA from 1 species
UACGGGGGGGCAAGCGUUGUUCGGAAUUACUGGGCGUAAAGGGCUCGUAGGUGGCCAACUAAGUCAGACGUGAAAUCCCUCGGCUUAACCGGGAACUGCGUCUGAUACUGGAUGGCUUGAGUUCGGGAGAGGGAUGCGGAAUUCCAGGUGUAGCGGUGAAAUGCGUAGAUAUCUGGAGGAACAUCGGUGGCGAAGGCGGCAUCCUGGACCGGUAUUGACGCUGAGGCGCGAAAGCCAGGGGAGCAAACGGG